GAUGUGAAGGAGCGCUUAAAGAAGAUGGCUUCAAUGAAGAAAAAGAAAUCAGGCAAAGAGUCAGACACAGCUGCAAAAAUUGCAGCUGCUGAGGCUGCAGCAAGGAGCGCUAGGCUCGCGGCAGCCAAGAAGAAAGAGAAGAACCAUUACAACCAGCAACCUGUGCGGUAAAUGGCCGCCAAAGUUUUGAAAAAUGUUCUGAGUUUGAAAAAUCCCCUUGUUCGUUUUUGGACUCACAAUAAACUUUUUUGAGUUGUAUUUAUGACCUUUGAGCGCCUUUCUGAGAUUCAUUUCGAAUUCUUGAAGGCCUUUCUGGUCUCAAAACGGUCAUGUAAUUGUGUUUUGAAUUGUUGACCCGGUGGAACUUAAUGGACGGCAUGGCCAGUGGGGGCUAAUUGGGU
rnacentral:sRNA from 1 species